UAGGGAAUCUUCGGCAAUGGACGAAAGUCUGACCGAGCAACGCCGCGUGAGUGAAGAAGGUUUUCGGAUCGUAAAACUCUGUUGUUAGAGAAGAACAAGGACGUUAGUAACUGAACGUCCCCUGACGGUAUCUAACCAGAAAGCCACGGCUAACUACGUGCCAGCAGCCGCGGUAAUACGUAGGUGGCAAGCGUUGUCCGGAUUUAUUGGGCGUAAAGCGAGCGCAGGCGGUUUCUUAAGUCUGAUGUGAAAGCCCCCGGCUCAACCGGGGAGGGUCAUUGGAAACUGGGAGACUUGAGUGCAGAAGAGGAGAGUGGAAUUACAUGUGGAGCGGUGAAAUGCGUAGAUAUAUGGAGGAACACCAGUGGCGAAGGCGGCUCUCUGGUCUGUAACUGACGCUGAGGCUCGAGAGCGUGGGGAGCAAACAGG
rnacentral:rRNA from 1 species